UUCCACUUUUUUCUCUCUUAUUCUUCUUGUUCUUCUUCUUACUCUUUUUUCUUUUGUAGGCUAUAGGAAGUGUCUUUUUAGGUUUUUCUUUGGCUCAACCUUCGGCAAUGGAGUUUUGGUAUAAAGGUGGUAUUAACAACCGAGAACUGUAUAGCUGUGAAGGUGCUAAUUUCUAUCACUCUUCUUGUUUAUUUGUCACUUCUCAUGUGCUACUCCAAAUGUCAUACAGGUGUUAAACAUCAAUGGAAACUUUCUAAGUUGUGGCGCGUUACAAAGAAGAAUGACAUGUGCUUCAAUUCACCGUGUUGAGCUCUUGGGAGACCAUCAUGGGUAAGAUUUGUGAACAUUAGGCCCCAGACGCUUGUCAGGUAUGAGUAAAGUUCAUGACACCGGACUCAUGUUAAACAAUUUACUCAAUUGAAUUGGAGGCCAACUUUCAACGAUGUGGCACAUAUACCAUAUGUUCAACAAGAAUGUCAUGGACAUCACCGUCGAGGAAGUGAGCGGGGGAGUCAUUCUCGAAAAGCAUAACCGCUGACCUAGGUACUUUCCUAUCCCAACAUCCUUCUACAGGGCCUUGAACAUUGUUAGGUGAUUGUCAAGUGUGCUUCUUCAGACUGGUGAUGGUGUGUGCAUGCAUAGAUAGAGGGCAACUUAGACACAUUUAAGGUAAAAACAAUACGUGUACAAGACAAAAGAGUUUGAUGAUGCAAUCGGUGAACUUGUGUCUACAUCUGCAGAAAUGCACCAUUGGUUACUCCACAAGUCUAAUGUUGUGACCAUUGGUUCGAAUUAUUUGUUUAAAGGUGUACGUUGGUGCGAGAUAUACUCCAACGUGGCAGAAUAUGUCAAUACUUGGAGCAAAAAGACGCGUCUCGAGCUUGGUUGAUUCCAUGAGGUUAAUCUGUAUAUGUAUUUGCAAAGCAUUUGUGUGUUAAUAGAUAGUUUGUAUGUAUUUUCUCAAGUGUGUGUCUAUUAUUAAACAUUUGUGUGUAGUUCCUCAAGCACGCAUGUAUUGUUAAACGUUUGUGUGUAUUUUCUCAUGUUUGUGUAUAUAAUACCCCGUCACUGUA